rnacentral:sRNA from 1 species
UACUUGUAGGGAAUCGCGGGUUAAACC